rnacentral:rRNA from 1 species
AUUGAACGCUGGCGGCAGGCCUAACACAUGCAAGUCGAGCGGAGCGGCGGACGGGUGAGUAAUGCCUAGGAAUCUGCCUGGUAGUGGGGGAUAACGUCCGGAAACGGGCGCUAAUACCGCAUACUAUCAGAUGAGCCUAGGUCGCAUUAGCUAGUUGGUGAGGUAAAGGCAUACCAAGGCGACGAUCCGUAACAGGUAUGAGAGGAUGAUCAGGCACCCUGGGACUGAGACACGGUCCAGACUCCUUCGUGAGGCAGCAGUGGGGAAUUUUCGGCAAUGGCCGCAAGCCUGAACCAGCCAUGCCGCGUGUGUGAAGAAGGUCUUCGGAUUGUAAAGCACUUUAAUUUGUGAAGCGUUACCGACAGAAUAGGCACCGGAUAAGUUCGUGCCAGCCGCCGCGGUAAUUC